rnacentral:rRNA from 1 species
AGCGAACGCUGGCGGCAGGCCUAACACAUGCAAGUCGAACGGACCCUUCGGGGUUAGUGGCGGACGGGUGAGUAACACGUGGGAACGUGCCUUUAGGUUCGGAAUAGCUCCUGGAAACGGGUGGUAAUGCCGAUUGUGCCCUUCGGGGAAAGAUUUAUCGCCUUUAGAGCGGCCCGCGUCUGAUUAGCUUGUUGGUGGGGUAAUGGCCCACCAAGGCUACGAUCAGUAGCUGGUCUGAGAGGAUGACCAGCCACAUUGGGACUGAGACACGGCCCAAACUCUUACGGGAGGCAGCAGUGGGGAAUCUUGCGCAAUGGGCGAAAGCCUGACGCAGCCAUGCCGCGUGUAUGAUGAAGGUCUUAGGAUUGUAAAAUACUUUCACCGGUGAAGAUAUUGACUGUAGCCGGAGAAGAAGCCCCGGCUAACUUCGUGCCAGCAGCCGCGGUAAUACGAAGGGGGCUAGCGUUGCUCGGAAUUACUGGGCGUAAAGGGAGCGUAGGCGGACAUUUAAGUC